UGGUGGAGUGAUUUGUCUGGUUAAUUCCGUUAACGAACGAGACCUCGACCUGCUAAAUAGUUGGAGCAAUUUUGAUUGCUACCACACUUCUUAGAGGGACUAUCGGUGGUUCAACCGAUGGAAGUUCGAGGCAAUAACA
rnacentral:rRNA from 1 species